CCUGCCUCGCACAGGGGGACAACAGUUGGAAACGACUGCUAAUACCGCAUAAGCGCACAGCUUCGCAUGAAGCAGUGUGAAAAACUCCGGUGGUGUGAGAUGGAUCCGCGUCUGAUUAGGUAGUUGGUGAGGUAAUGGCUCACCAAGCCGACGAUCAGUAGCCGGCCUGAGAGAGUGACCGGCCACAUUGGGACUGAGACACGGCCCAAACUCCUACGGGAGGCAGCAGUGGGGAAUAUUGCACAAUGGGCGAAAGCCUGAUGCAGCGACGCCGCGUGAGCGAGGAAGUAUUUCGGUAUGUAAAGCUCUAUCAGCAGGGAAGAAAAUGACGGUACCUGACUAAGAAGCUCCGGCUAAAUACGUGCCAGCAGCCGCGGUAAUACGUAUGGAGCAAGCGUUAUCCGGAUUUACUGGGUGUAAAGGGAGCGUAGGCGGCAGGGCAAGUCUGAUGUGAAAACCCAAGGCUCAACCUUGGGACUGCAUUGGAAACUGCUCAGCUAGAGUGUCGGAGAGGUAAGUGGAAUUCCUAGUGUAGCGGUGAAAUGCGUAGAUAUUAGGAGGAACACCAGUGGCGAAGGCGACUUACUG
rnacentral:rRNA from 1 species